UCCUUUGACAUUGGUGCAUUGUGA
rnacentral:siRNA from 1 species